ensembl:miRNA
UGCUUCCUUUGUCAGUGGAACCUCCAUGUCUGGAGCCCCCAGCAGGGCCCUCUGAGGUAGAACAGCAGC